GAUUUAUUGAAGGAAUGUUCUGUGGGUGAAGCAGACUUCCAGAGCGUGUUGAUAGAAAGUGAUUACCAACCUCAUAAAUAAGAGCAUUUGCACUGGCAAGAGUGAAUUAAGUGCAGAGUGUAUUAGAAGUGUGGGUCAUCUGAAGCCAAAACCCGAGGAGCAGAGCCUUCUAGCUCCAAGAAAUGCUCACAUGCUCUCCAUCCUCCCAGCUGCUUGCAACACGCGCUGAUGUGGCAAAGGGAGAAGAGCCUGUGCAGCCUAGGGGAGCUUUAAGCAUAUCAGCAGUUUUGUAUGCAGGAUAAAGCUGUGUCAGUACCGGAGGAGUGGGAGAAGCAGGGGAAGUCCCAGCUCAGCGCACAGAGGGGGACAGCCCUAGGGAUGGGGGGCUGCUCCCACUGCAGGUCUGCUCCUCGGCCUUCCCUUCACAUCAGCUGUGCCAAACACUGAGUGGAACCAUCUGAUAAAAGCUGGACGUGUAUCAAAGAUGUGCUGCGAGCGCCGUAACUCAGCCCUCAUCUGCAGUCCAGAAUUGCCAUCUGCUCAACAUGUCCUGCCCUGCUUCCUCACUGCAUGGAGGGCUCCGCGCAAAGCAUCCCCAGCGCCAGUUAUAAAACGAGCCCAGAAACCCGAGCCUCACCCCACUGCGUGUCUCCAGCCUUUUAUUGUUGCAGGGAGAAGAGAUGUGAGCCCAGGAGGAGCCGCACAGCCCCUGGAAAUCUCAGAAUACGGUCAGGGCCUUGGAGAGACUGAUUUAUGGGAUGGGACUGGAGCCUGGGGGUAUGGCUUGGUUUGGAGAGUUUCAAAAUCAGACCUUCUCUGCAGUUUGAAGAGGUCCUCCUGGAGUGCCUGCCAUCCUUCUCCCAUGGCUGUGCUGGGCUGGCUCUGGCUGGCAGGCCAAGGGCAAUGCAAUGGUGUUGGGAUGGGAUGCCGCCUGCCUGUACCACGCUUGUGGUUUCUGCACCAGAUCUGGACUCUUGUGGUGAAGAAAGUGCGUGCCUACAGAACAGCAUCCAGGGAAAAACUUGGCGUGCCAACCUAAGCACAUUUACUGCUGAUU
rnacentral:lncRNA from 1 species